CUUCCUAACUGAAUGCCAUCUAGGGAGGGGAGGUGGUUGCCAGCUCUUAGGACCUCAGCGGACUCUACCUCAGAAUCACACAGGAAGUCCACUAACACCACUCGAGGAGGGAUGGCAAGCUGGAUUGCAUUGUUCUUCCUGCUCCAUGUUGGCCAAUGGACCGUCAGUUGAACACUGAUAUAAUCAGGGCAGGAAUCAACAGAAAGUGCUGGAAAAUGGAUGAGAUGGUGAUGUCAGCUAACAUGAGAACAGCUGGAUCUGGACCAGAAGUGGAAAUCAUGCUUGUGAAUCAGCCUCAGGAUGAUCAACCCCAGAGGGAGGAACUGACACUAAUUCAAGGGCAUGGAAGAGUCAUACAAAUCAGAAUGUCUCAUUUAUUAAUGCUGCGAGAAAUAUAACCAGUUCCUUCAGGCUGACAUCAAUUUCUUUUCCUAUCGUCAAAGUAGAUGAAAAACCAAAUCCUAAUCGGGGGACACUUUUUGGAUUAUUCAGAAAUAGUCAAAACCAGGUGACUGGUACAUUAUCUUCUAUAGGCAGAUACACUUGGGAAAGAGGAGAUUGCUUAAUGAACACAGAGUCAGAAAGCGGAGUUUUGUAUUAAUGGACUAUUUAAAAGAACCAAGAAAAAACAGUUUGAGCUAUCUCUCCAAGAUGAGCGGUAAUCUUGCUAAUCGCUUUGACCACUUACAUUUAUCUUCAAAUGAGAGACCAGAUUUAUUCCCAAACCCUGUACUUAAAACUUCCUCUUCCAAUGACAGAACAUAGGCAGACACUGCCAAUGUCUGUCUCUAGGGGUCGUUUCUAUCCCCAGCGGCUGAAACACUCCUCUUCCUAACCACCUAAGUACACACACCUACUUCUGAUGGCACGUUCUCUCAUUUCUUGGUAUAUACUUAGGAAUGGAAUUUUUUUUCAUUGCUAGGUCACAGGAUGAGCCCAUUUCAAUGGAUCAUGUAAAAUUUUUUUCCAAAAUGAGUGUAUCAGUUUAUAUUCAGGCAUACUUUUUCUCUGUUUCACGUUAUAGCCAAUCCUUGGUAUUUGUACUUUUUGGCCAAUCAGUGUUUGUAAAAUGGUAUUUUAUUUUAUUGUGGUUUUUGACCACA